rnacentral:rRNA from 2 species
AAAUUGAAGAGUUUGAUCAUGGCUCAGAUUGAACGCUGGCGGCAGGCCUAACACAUGCAAGUCGAACGGUAACAGGAAGCAGCUUGCUGCUUUGCUGACGAGUGGCGGACGGGUGAGUAAUGUCUGGGAAACUGCCUGAUGGAGGGGGAUAACUACUGGAAACGGUGGCUAAUACCGCAUAACGUCGCAAGACCAAAGAGGGGGACCUUCGGGCCUCUUGCCAUCAGAUGUGCCCAGAUGGGAUUAGCUAGUUGGUG